rnacentral:tRNA from 1 species
GGGCUGGGGUCAGUGGUACAGCGCUUGCCUAGCAUGCGUGAGUCACUGGGUUCGAUCCCCAGCACCUCA